GGAAGCUUGAUGUCUCCGUAAUAUGACUCAUUCAAAAAAGGGCCGUACUAUAAGUAUGUAUUUGUUUUUCUAAUGUAUUUUGCCUUCAGUUUAAUUCAUGGCAGCAGCACGACGUUGGAAGUAAGUGAUUGAUGCAAUAUGAAGAAUGGACGAAGACGAUGUGACUAUCAGAGAACAGAAUUUUCACAGCCAAGUUCGAGAGUACAUCAUCUGCUUCCUUCUGUUUGCAGUCCUCUACAUUGUUUCCUACUUCAUCAUCACGCGGUACAAGAGGAAAACUGAUGAUCAUGAAGAUGAAGAUGCCAUAGUCAACAGAAUAUCACUGUACUUGUGCACCUUCACUUUGGCCAUCUCAGCGGGAGCAGUGCUGCUACUGCCCUUCUCCAUAAUCAGUAAUGAGAUCCUGCUCUCCUUCCCCAAAAACUACUACAUCCAGUGGCUCAAUGGCUCUCUCAUCCAUGGCCUCUGGAACCUGGUCUCCCUGUUCUCCAAUCUCUGCCUCUUCGUCCUGAUGCCCUUUGCCUACUUCUUUCUGGAAUCAGAGGGAUUUGCUGGAUCAAAGAAGGGCAUAAAGGCUCGUGUGUUGGAGACCUUUGUGAUGCUCUUCCUGCUGGGCCUGCUCAUUCUGGGGAUAGUGUGGGUGGCCUCGGCCCUGAUCGACAACGAUGCGGCCAGCUUGGAGUCACUGUACGACCUCUGGGAGUUCUACCUGCCCUACUUGUAUUCCUGUAUAUCCUUAAUGGGAGGAUUGCUUCUUCUGAUGUGCACACCAGUGGGGCUCUCCCGGAUGUUCACUGUCAUGGGCCAGUUAAUCGUCAAGCCAACUAUCCUGGAAGACCUGGACGAACAAAUUUAUUGCAUCCAUUUGCAGGAGGAAGCCCUUCAGAGGAGAUUAAAUGGGUCACUCUCUCAUUCCCAGCAUGUACUGAAGGAGCUGGACAGCGUUCAGAGUCAGAAGAAUAAGCUGGAGAGGCGGAAGAAGGCUUCAGCAUGGGAGAAGAAUCUGCUGUACCCCAUUGUCAUGUUAAUACUCCUGACUGGAACAACAAUCUCCGUGCUUAUAGUUGCUCUCAACAUCCUGUACCUAUUAGUGGAUGAAACUGCGAUGCCAAAGGGGUCAAAGGAACCAGGGAUUGGAAACGCAUCCUUAUCGACCUUUGGAGUGGUCCAGGCCGCUGUAGAAAUCAUUCUGAUGAUCUACCUGAUGGUGUCCUCCGUGGUGGGCUUCUACAGCCUGCGGCUCUUUGAAGGCCUCACACCGAGGAAGGACGACACCACCAUGACAACGGUAAGGGCAGAUCAUUGGAUGUUGCGUGUCGAUCCUUGUGCUCAGUUCAGCUUUGCCAGUCAUGUCCAGAACCCUGGGAAUUACCAGGUUCGAUCUUCUUGGAGACUUUGGGAGAUUUAACUGGUUGGGAAACUUCUACAUCGUCCUGUCUUACAACCUGCUCUUCGCGGUGGUGACAACGCUGUGUCUGGUGCGAAAGUUCACCUCGGCAGUUAGGGAAGCGCUCCUGAAAGCUUUAGGUCUGGAUAAAUUGCACCUUUCAAACAGCCCCACGGACCCGGAGACAGCCAAGCUCUCGGCGAACGGGCACCAGAAAUCCCUGUGAGGAGCCGACGCGCCCGGUGAUCGGCGGCGGGAGACGGGGGAGCGACGCGGCGGCCAUCGCUUUCCAUCCCCCUCCUCCCCUCCUGUCUGGAGCAGGCCGAAGCCUGCAAGCCGUUACUGCGUCCGCCGCCACCGUCUACAGCCGCCCCGAGCUUUGCUCUGAGUCCUUUCCACUCAGAAUGCAUCCCAACCGAGCGCAGGUCGUCCUGCAGACCGCGUUGAACACUUCCUGUUUGUUACCGGGCGGUUUGUUUACGGAAGCAGGUUGGAAGUUCUGGGAUUGGAGUUUGAAGAGGAGCUUCUCGAACACACCUCUCUCCACAUUCGCGCUUUUUUUUGUCAGAUGGCAGUUGGUGGCAGUUUGUUGUUCUCAGUCCUUUGGCCCGUCUGAUGUAGUUUUGUUCUUUGUUACCGUUUUUGUCCUCCGUUUCUUGACUAUCACACACUUCACCUUCCAGUUACUAAGCGACACCCAACUGCAGAACUUCUUUGCUCUUUGUGUGAUUUUUUGUCAAUCGAAAGAACUUCAUGGUGUUACCCUGAAAACGUGUAAAUAGUUUAUGUACAUUUUACGAAAAAAACAAAAAAAACAAAAAAACUUUUACUCUUAUGCAUAGUUACCGCACACAUCUUUUCUUAAUGUUUGUUCGCAGUGGUGGAGAGCAUCAGUGGCAUAACGAUAGAAUAUAAAAACAUACCUAAGAGAUGACAUGGCUGACAUAAAACUGACUGCAGUUUUGUGGUAGAACCCAUCACACACCACAUAGAGAUUUUCCUCUGUGUGUGUGUGUGACAUGAGGAAAUUAACCUGGUGGUAUCAGCUUGGCUAAUCCAUGCCUUCAGAUUGGUAUCCUGUCCUAUCUGAGCAUGUGCAGUGACAGCUAGGCACGAUGUUAAUGUGAAGCUUUGCGCUAUUUUAGGGAUGGUCUCUUGGACCGGGAUUAAAGUUGGGAAUAGAUUAAGAGAAUUUUCGUGUUCAGAGCUGCCUUCUCACUCUGGAAAUUUUCUAAAUGCAAUGCCUUAUUUGAAAACCAUAAAAUGUGUACAGGUAUAUAAUGGCUUUUUUUUUUUUUGGUAAAAAAAAAAGUAAAGAAAAAAAAGGACUGAAAUUGCCUUUUUUUUCUUUCUUUUUUUUAAAGCGAAAGACACUGAUGUCAAAUAAAUCUAGGUCUUAAUCUUCCAGUCGACGCUGAACAUAACCCCUCACUGCUACAGGGCCACCACAAACAUCCAGAACAAAGCGUACAAAACUAAACUAAAUAUUGGAAAUUUUGGACGAAAAGACACAAGUGGAACAUCAGUCAUAUUUACCGAAAAUGGCGCUAACUUUAGAGAAGGGCAUCCACAUUUGCUAGUCUUCAUCCCUCUCUGUUUCUGUCUUUUCUUUUCUUUUUUACCCCCCGUUUUGGCAAAGUUGGGUCUCCAUUAGAGGCUGCUUGCGCGUAGCUGCUGGUCUUGUUAAAGGCAGUGUGGCGCAGGGCUGGCCUGCAGAAUUGAUGGUGUUGCUCUGACAGCAGGCAGCAAUGAGGCAUUGAGAGCUAUUCUAGGCAGAACCCUGGUUGGCACAACUGUAAUACUGAUUAAUGCCUCAGAGUCCUAAUCAGGUGACUGGAAAGCCACUUGUUUAAGGGAAAAGAGAUUUUCUCCUACUGGAAAAGGAGUUGAUGCAUGUGUACAUGUGUGUGCGUGUGUUUUGUUUUUGAAAGCGUUUAUUUUUUAUUUUUUAUUAAAUGCUUAUAUUUUUGCACAGCAGCAGAGCUGAACAUUUUGGGGAAAAAAAGAGCCAUAGAUAAUUAGCCGAUCUUCCAAACUGAAAAAAAAAAAAAAAAGGUCUUGACUGAUGUUCUGGAUCGGGGUCAGGGGUCAGCCGGUUGCUGAGGAUUUCUAAAUGCUCUUACACAGCCUCAGAUAAAUGCAUUGUUAGUGUAUGGAAUAUUCAACUUGAUAUAGUUAGUUAUAAUAAUUUGAGUUUAAUAAGUUGAGUUUAUCAGUUGGUGCUCACAACUCAAAGGACCCUUUACUGGCAUGAUCUCAUGAUAAAUUAGUCCACAUAGCCUAGCCCAUAUUCUUUAUUGACUGAACUCUAAACGUUGACAAGAUGUCUUUAUCUACACUGAAUACUGCUAGAAUACCCAUACCAAGAGUACCAUUGCAGCUAUUUUUGGUGGUAGACACAAAGGUCUCUCCAAAGACCAAUUGGGCAGUUUAAGGCCAAGUGUGGACCUAUGCUACAACAUGUACCCUGCAGUUCUUAACAAUCAAUUUAAAAUUCAUUAAGCUCAGUUCUACUUUCAGACGAGUUAAAUGAGUGUGCGUAGUAAUAAUUAUUAUAUAUAGUUAUUUAUGUUUGUUGUCCAUUAGAUUUAAAUUGGUUUGCUGUACCUUGGCUAGCUUGGGGCUCUUUUUGUCAGUAAGUGACAUGGUUGUAUAGUCCCAAGUUAGUCUUAGUUUCUGCAGUGCAACAUUAUUUUAAACUGUCAAUUUCAACAGGUAGAAGCCAGAUCGUUCACGAGGAUCUCUCACUCUGCUCUCUCUAUGCUUUCUCUCCUCUCCUCUCCUCUGCUCUCUCCUCCCUCUCUCUCUCACAAAUGGUAGAAAUGACCCUCCCUGUACAUGAUAAAUCACAAAUUGGUAGUAUUUGUGGUAACUGUGAAACAUUUUCUGGGUUACUGUUUCAUGGUAAAAGGUCAUGGGUUACAGUUUAUUUACCUAAGGGGGAAAGCACCUCUGAAAAAGAACAUGAUUGGAGAACCCUUUUCCAGCCCAAUAAUCUAAGCUGUCUUCUGGAACAUCUUUUCAUACCACUGAACAUGUUGUAUUUUCGUCUACUCUGUAUAAAUGUUUGUUUGGUUACAAAGAUGUGAAGUGCCCUGGAAAAAAGUCCCGAGAGACAUAUUGUUCAUCGUACAAAUUGAGACUAUAAAAAGAAAAUGCAGCUAAAAGGUUAUUCUAAUCCUGAACAUUAUAAUAGCACGUUCAGCGCAGUACUGUAAGUACCAGAGGAUACAUUUGUGCAGUGGUAUUUAGACAGUAAUUCUGUUGAUUUCUUUCUCUCUUUUUUUUUUUUUAAGUCAAGAUUUCUUUUCUGCGUGACUUUCACAUAACAUUGAAACUAUGAAGAUACUAAGAGGCCAAUGUGAUCCUGUAAAUUGAUUCAUCUUGGUCUUUAUUACCAACUAUAUUACCAGGUAUAUUGCCAAAGGUUCUCUGCACUCAUUAAAGCUCUGCGUUUUCAGACAUUCCCAUACACUCUGGAGAGAGAGACAGAUGAGGACAGUCACCCCAAUUCAGUUCCUCAUUAUAGCCAUCAGACAUGACCAUUGAAGCUAAUUUAAAUGAAAAACCAAAAGAUUUUUUGUUUAAAUUUGCCUGAUGGAAAAUAGAUUUUAACUGAAUAGUAGAAAGACAGUAAUUUGACCCCGGCUGUACGUUUCUGAAACUCCCGAUGAAGAUGGUUUACUUCGGACGGAGUAAACAAUAUAAAAACAACUUCAGUAACCUCCGGUGAAUAAUUCUCAACUGUACAUGAUAUUCUGUGUGUAUAUAUAUAUAUAUAUAUAUAUAUAUAUAUAUAUACACAUUUAUUUAGGUUUUUCAUACUCUAGUGCUUUUUGUAUCAUUGAGGCGUUAAUUGUUGGCUCUGUUGUACUUGGCCUAUUUUGAGUGUCCAUUGUAGAUAAGCCUGUACAAUUCUCUACUACUGAGAUUGUCUUUAUUUCUCAGAAUUCACCUCUAUAUGCCUUAUAAGGACGGUUUCACAGACAUUUAAUUCUGAACUUCCCUGUUUUGUGUGCGUAUGCGUGUGCAUGCAUGUGUGCGUGUUUGUGUGGAUGUGUGCGCUUGUUUUUAAUGACAGAUUCACUGUGAGACCCUCUCGUGACAAAUAAAAAAAAAAACAAAUGUGACGAUAUGAAUGAAAAUUUCGACUAUUGGCACUGGCUGGUGAAUACUGAGGGAAUAUGUUCCUUGCAAAUUGCCGUUACUUGCUUUCAAUAUUUUCUGUAUUUUACCUAAUUCUAUUAUGGGACAAAAGGCGAACGUAACAAAGGGGCACAUGAGAGAUUUUGACUGAAUCCUAAUAUGUGCUUUUUGAUGAGCUAGCAGUAAUAUUUGCUUUGAGUAGUUUGCUUUUGGUUGACACAUGCCUUUUCUUUUAAAGUUACUGAUUACACUUUUACACUUUGUUACCCAAACUGCUACUGAGGUCUGCUUUUUUUUUUUUUAGGCACCAUAUCCAAACUUGUCUUCUUUUUAAAAAGUGAAUUGCCUAAACAAGAAUUGUAAUGUGAAAGAGAAAAUCUGAAAAUAUCACGCUGAAUGUGAAAGCAUGAAAGCUAGUCAUUUUGACUCUUGGGUGGGUUCUCAAUUUAUGUGGUGCAUUAUUUGGUGGUUUGUAUCAUAUGAACAUGACAAUAUUUGAGGGAAUUAAAAAAUAUAUGCAAUCAGUUGUAUUUCCUGUUUAAUGUUUGUACAAGAAGCUUUUUGUAUGGAACCAUUUGAUGUAAAAGGAAGAUGCCAGUCACACUUAUCCAGUAAGGGAUCUGAAGAGGUGGGGGAGGUUUGCGUUGUUGCACCCAUAUAUCACGGGCGUAUUUUGGAAGCCUCACAUAUGUUUUUACCAUCCAUAACAGUGGGAAAUGUUAGAAUUGACAUUACGUGUUUUGACCCAGUGUCCUUUACCCACCGUCAGUGUUUUUGCGUCAUGCUCCGUAGCUAUUUUGCAGUUGUGAUUUCAGUGUCGUCUCCCAUACCUUGUGGUUUCUCAAUGUGGCAAAGCAAUACUGUGAAAGUAAAGCGUCGACCAAAACGUUCAUUCCGUGGCUUGAGAAAACGGCCACUCAGUGCUUCCCUGGAUGGAGAUGUCUCUGUUAAAUGUCACUCUGACCUCUCACGCACCUGCUCGGCUCAUUGUGAUUGGAGGGGAUUUGACCCGGUAACGGCCAGAUAUGCAUGGUAACGGCCAGCCGCAUGCGGUAACCACGGAUACCGCACAUAGCCAGCCGUUACUGUGCGUAACGGACAGACGCAAGCCGUUACGGCAGAUGCACGGGGUAAUGGGCAACAGCCUCCCAAAGUACACGGACAGUCACACUCGCAGUUUCUUUACGUUUACCUCUGUGACUGGACAGAGUCAGGGGCUGUUCUGUGCUGAUGAACAGAUUUGGUUGCCUUACAGUAUUUCUCGUUCAUUGUAGUUUAGAGGUCAGAGGAACAGCUUGUGAAACAGAGCAGCUGUCGUCGUCCGUUUUUUUGCAUGUUGUUUUGCAACGUACGUGAAUGUAUUUUUUAUGAUACUCAUUUCCCAGUUGCAAUGUGUGUUUUGUUUUUUGUUGGUUUUUUUUGUUGUUGUUUUGGAAAAAAUUAAUGUUGAAACGCUUGUAUUAGUUUACGUUGUGUAUUUUCAGUUUACAAUAAAGUUUGUGACUUGUGA